UCCCCGCACUCCCGCAAUAAGGUCUCAUUAAGGAACCGGUAUUUUCAUUCUGGUUCAACCGCAACCCAGAGGAAGAGGAAGGGGGUGAGAUUGUUUUUGGUGGUGUUGAUCCUGCUCACUAUAAGGGAAAGCACACUUACGUGCCUGUGACCAGAAAAGGAUAUUGGCAGUUUGAUAUGGGAGAUGUACUUAUUGCCGGUAAACCCACUGGAUAUUGUGCUGAUGGUUGUUCAGCCAUUGCAGACUCAUGGACUUCUUUGUUGGCAGGUCCAACGACUGUAAUAACUAUGAUUAACCAUGCAAUUGGAGCAUCUGGAGUUAUAAGCCAAGAAUGCAGGGUGCGG